rnacentral:rRNA from 1 species
CGGGUGCUAUAAUGCAGUAGAACGCUGAAGUCUGGUGCUUGCACUAGACGGAUGAGUUGCGAACGGGUGAGUAACGCGUAGGUAACCUGCCUCAUAGCGGGGGAUAACUAUUGGAAACGAUAGCUAAUACCGCAUAACAGUAUUUACCGCAUGGUAGAUAUUUGAAAGGAGCAAUUGCUUCACUAUGAGAUGGACCUGCGUUGUAUUAGCUAGUUGGUGAGGUAACGGCUCACCAAGGCUUCGAUACAUAGCCGACCUGAGAGGGUGAUCGGCACACUGGGACUGAGACACGGCCCAGACUCUACGGGAGGCAGCAGUAGGGAAUCUUCGGCAAUGGGGGCAACCCUGACCGAGCAACGCCGCGUGAGUGAAGAAGGUUUUCGGAUCGUAAAGCUCUGUUGUAAGAGAAGAACUGUGAGAAGAGUGGAAAGUUUCUCACUUGACGGUAUCUUACCAGAAAGGGACGGCUAACUACGUGCCAGCAGCCGCGGUAAUACGUAGGUCCCGAGCGUUGUCCGGAUUUAUUGGGCGUAAAGCGAGCGCAGGCGGUUUGAUAAGUCUGAAGUAAAAGGCUGUGGCUUAACCAUAGUACGCUUUGGAAACUGUCAAACUUGAGUGCAGAAGGGGAGAGUGGAAUUCCAUGUGUAGCGGUGAAAUGCGUAGAUAUAUGGAGGAACACCGGUGGCGAAAGCGGCUCUCUGGUCUGUAACUGACGCUGAGGCUCGAAAGCGUGGGGAGCGAACAGGAUUAGAUACCCUGGUAGUCCACGCCGUAAACGAUGAGUGCUAGGUGUUGGGUCCUUUCCGGGACUCAGUGCCGCAGCUAACGCAUUAAGCACUCCGCCUGGGGAGUACGACCGCAAGGUUGAAACUCAAAGGAAUUGACGGGGGCCCGCACAAGCGGUGGAGCAUGUGGUUUAAUUCGAAGCAACGCGAAGAACCUUACCAGGUCUUGACAUCCCGAUGACCGCCCUAGAGAUAGGGUUUCUCUUCGGAGCAUCGGUGACAGGUGGUGCAUGGUUGUCGUCAGCUCGUGUCGUGAGAUGUUGGGUUAAGUCCCGCAACGAGCGCAACCCCUAUUGUUAGUUGCCAUCAUUCAGUUGGGCACUCUAGCGAGACUGCCGGUAAUAAACCGGAGGAAGGUGGGGAUGACGUCAAAUCAUCAUGCCCCUUAUGACCUGGGCUACACACGUGCUACAAUGGCUGGUACAACGAGUCGCAAGUCGGUGACGGCAAGCUAAUCUCUUAAAGCCAGUCUCAGUUCGGAUUGUAGGCUGCAACUCGCCUACAUGAAGUCGGAAUCGCUAGUAAUCGCG